CCUACGGGGGGCUGCAGUGGGGAAUAUUGGACAAUGGGGGCAACCCUGAUCCAGCCAUGCCGCGUGUAUGAAGAAGGCCCUCGGGUUGUAAAGCACUUUCAGUGAGGAAGAACGCCUGGUGGUUAAUACCCAUCAGGAAAGACAUCACUCACAGAAGAAGCACCGGCUAACUCCGUGCCAGCAGCCGCGGUAAUACGGAGGGUGCGAGCGUUAAUCGGAAUUACUGGGCGUAAAGCGCGCGUAGGUGGCUUGAUAAGCCGGUUGUGAAAGCCCCGGGCUCAACCUGGGAACGGCAUCCGGAACUGUCAAGCUAGAGUGCAGGAGAGGAAGGUAGAAUUCCCGGUGUAGCGGUGAAAUGCGUAGAGAUCGGGAGGAAUACCAGUGGCGAAGGCGGCCUUCUGGACUGACACUGACACUGAGGUGCGAAAGCGUGGGUAGCAAACAGGAUUAGAUACCCGUGUAGUC
rnacentral:rRNA from 1 species